UUAUUUUCUUUACACCUAUAUUGCUUAUUUGUACUAAUUGCAAAAAAUUUAUUUUGGAAACAGGUUCUCUGAAGUUUUAUCAUCGAUCUAGACAAGCUUUCGAAGUGGAGCAACGAGUUUUAAGCAUUUAUAAUUUGAGGCUUUUCUGAUAUUAUAGGUGUUUACUGUCAUUUAGAAUUUGUUAUUUUUUGGUUAAAUUUCGAACAAGUAUUUUUUUAUUGGAAAUCAUGUCUGAAAUUUAAUUUGAACAUUGAGUUGCAUUGAGUUGUAAUUUGAGAGUGAAAACUAUUUGUUAUACAAAUUAGUGACGCUUUUCGGUUAUUACUAUUUUUUAAAAUUUUAAUUUAUUAUAGUAUUUAGUUAUAAAAUUAGUACUUUAAUAUGAAUUAUAAUUGCUGCUAUAAGCUUCGUUUAUCAAACAUUUAGUAUAUUUUUUGUGGCAAUUAUAGUUAAUUAUAAUGACAUUUAUAAUAGUUGCUAUUAUAUAGUAUUUAGCGGCAUUUAUUUAGACUUUUACCAACCGCCGGAACAAAUACCACUAUAACUUUUAUCGACCCUACCAAUAGCGGCAAUUGUCAUAAUUGUCACGAAACUAUUUAGCAACAAUUAUAAUUGCCGGAAAUUUAAAAAAUAAUCGCCGCUAAAACUCAAUUUUAUUGUAGUGAUAUUCAUAAGAGCAAACUUGGCAUUUUUAAAUAUUUCAAUCAACUUUUUAAUUACAAACUAUUCUUCUCUGAUUUCAAGAAAACUACCAAAUAUUAUUUUAUCUAUUCCAAAGAAUAAGUAAAAAUUUUGCCAAACAAAAAAUUACUUUAAUUCCUCUCUAUCCUAGAAUAUUGAGAUAUUUUAGGAAUUAAAAAAAUUAUUCCUGUAGUCAUUAUUCCAUUACCAAGCAGAGCCUUAGUGAAGUUCAAGUUUAUUUGAUGCCUAUUGUAACAUAGGGAGUAGAAAAGCAACUUUACUUAUAUGAGCAUAAAAAGUCGUGCCGCUUUUGGCAAAAGUUCAGGGCUUACUUUUGUAACUCACUACUAGAAAAUUAGUCAUUAGUGGCAUUUAUUUAUACUGUUAAAUGAUCAACAAAUGCCACUAAAAAUUUUAGCAGCAUAUGAUAUCAAAUGCUGUCUAUGCCAAUAUUGCUAAAAGUAUUAGCGGCAUUUAUAAUAAUUGCCGCCAAUGUAAAUCAAUUAGUAUCAUUAAGAAUAUGCAGCUAAAAGGGAUUAAAUACUAAUUUUAAGUUGUUUAUUAGUGGCACAUAAAUAUAAUGUCACUAAUACAAAUAUCUAAUUUUAGAAAUUAAAAUUUUAAAACAUUAAUUUUAUUUUCAAUUUAAUUUUUAAAUUUAAAUUUAAAUUUAAACUUAAAAUUAUAUUUGAUUUUUUUUUGAGAGAAAACGGUAGCAUUGUAACACACUGGGCCUUUGCAAAUUACGAGGUUCGAGUGUUUUAUCUGUGUUCCGAGUUUUUCUAGAUAUUCUGGAAGGUCGUUGACAGUGUUCCGACCUAUGACUCGCAUCCCGAGAAUCAAGGUUUUAAA
rnacentral:lncRNA from 1 species